GACGAACGCUGGCGGCGUGCUUAACACAUGCAAGUCGAACGGAAAGGCCUGCUUUCCCUUGUGGAUUGCGGGUACUCGAGUGGCGAACGGGUGAGUAACACGUGAGUGAUCUGCCCCCAACUUGGGUAUAAGCCUGGGAAACUGGGUCUAAUUCCCGAUAGGACUGCAGGGUGGUGCCUGUGGUGGAAAACGAUUUUCUAGUGGUUGGGGAUGAGCUCGCGGCCUAUCAGCUUGUUGGUGGGGUAAUGGCCUACCAAGGCGGCGACGGGUAGCCGGCCUGAGAGGGUGGACGGCCACAGUGGGACUGAGAUACGGCCCAGACUCCGACGGGAGGCAGCAGUGGGGAAUAUUGCACAAUGGGCGGAAGCCUGAUGCAGCGACGCCGCGUGGGGGAUGACGGGCUUCGGGUGGUAAACUCCUUUCGACCGCGAGGAAGCCACCUGGUUGGAAGGGUGGUGACGGUAGUGGUAGAAGAAGCACCGGCUAACUACGUG
rnacentral:rRNA from 1 species